GUCCAGGCAGCCCUGGCUGCCCAGGCUGACCUCACGCCCUCAGGGGGGUCUCCAACCACCUGGGUGGGUGUCUGAGCAGACAUGUGUCUCUGCUCAUUCUGGGAGCAGAAGUUGGAGUGGGCAGAAGCAGCAGCCAUACUGGCCAGGCCCAGCUCAGUAAACUCCAAGCACGGCUGGCUGACGGUCACUGUCACUGCAGAGCUUCCCACUGGAUCUGGCCGAUGAGGGGUCACCCUGUCCACCUCCCCGAGGGAGGUGUCGGACCAUCACCCCCUGCCCGUGAGACCCAGUGCAGUUUCCAGGUGAGCGUGCCCAUGGAGGAGUCAGCCCAACUGGGAAUGAAGAGGAAGCAGGCAAGGCCUCCUGCCCAGACACCACCCAGGACACACCCCAGGGACCAGUCUCAGGCUGCCACGGGGCUUGGCACACCCGGCUCCGACCCAGAGCCCCAAGAACCCCUGCCUCUGAGGCAGCAGGAGGACCUGGAGCCCAGCACAGCAGAGCACAGAGCCCCUUCUGGCUGCCCAGCUCCACAUUGGACCCUUGCCCACAGGAUGAGGAAAGCCCAGCUCCAGAGAAGUUUAACACAAGGAGAGACUGCUGGAGACCCUCCAACCCCUGGUCUAAAUAAGCAUUUCCUUUUAGUUUCACAACCCUGGGAGGAGGUACUGGUUUUGCGUCCAUUUUGCAGUUGAAAUGGUUGAGCCUCAGAUCUUUUUGUGUGAUUUGCCCAGGGUCACUCAGCAGGUUAUCAAGUGAGCAGGGAUUUCAACCCAGAAUUCCUGUCUCAGAGUCCAUGAUUCUGUGCAAGUCUUUCAGCUCCUGGUUUACAUUUAUUUCAAGGUAUUUUAUUCCUUUUGAUGCAUUUGUAAAUAGGACUGUUUUCUUCAUCUCUCUCUCUGAUGGUUCAAAUCCUAUUAUCUUGAUGAAUUUAUUAAUUCUAAUUGUUUUCUCAUGGAGUUUUUAGGGUUUUAUAUAAUAUCAUGUCAUAAUUGAAUAGUGACAGUUUUACUUCUUCUGUUCUAAUGGGGAGUCCUUUUAUUUCCUUUUCUUGCCUAAUUGCUCUGGGUAGGACUUGCAAUACCAUGUUGAAUAAAAUUGGCAAGAGCAAACAUCCUUGUACUAUUCCUGAUCUUUUAGGGAAAACUUUCAACUUUUUACCUCUGAGUCUGAUGUUAGCUGUGGUCUUAUAUAGCCUUUAGUAUGUUC
rnacentral:lncRNA from 1 species